UACGGAGGGUGCGAGCGUUAAUCGGAAUUACUGGGCGUAAAGCGUGCGCAGGCGGCUAUGCAAGACAGGUGUGAAAUCCCCGGGCUCAACCUGGGAACUGCACUUGUGACUGCAUGGCUAGAGUGCGUCAGAGGGAGGUGGAACUCCGCGUGUAGCAGUGAAAUGCGUAGAGAUGCGGAGGAACACCGAUGGCGAAGGCAGCCUCCUGGGAUGACACUGACGCUCAUGCACGAAAGCGUGGGGAGCAAACAGG
rnacentral:rRNA from 1 species